rnacentral:rRNA from 1 species
CAUGGAGGGUGAGAAUCCCGUCCGGUUGACCUCAGGAUGCUCUACGUUAACGCAUUCUAAGAGUCGAGUUGUUUGGGAUUGCAGCUCAAAAUGGGAGGUAAAUUUCUCCUAAGGCUAAAUACAGGCGAGAGACCGAUAGCGAACAAGUACCGUGAGGGAAAGAUGAAAAGAACUUUGAAAAGAGAGUUAAACAGUACGUGAAAUUGUUGAAAGGGAAACGAUUGAAGCCAGUCGUACUGACGGGAAAUCAACUUUUCGAGUGCUUGUCGUGAAUGACGUUGAGCUUCACGGCCUUCGUUGCUUGCGUUAUGGUGCUUUUGAGGUGUACUUUUCCGUAUGGUAAGUCAACAUCGAUUUUGAUCGUCAUAAAAUGAUCGGAGGAAUGUGGCUCUGAUCUUGUAUCGGAGUGUUAUAGCCUUUGAUAGAUGUGACGAUUGGGAUCGAGGAUUGCAACGAAUACCCUUUGGGCUAUCCGUCUGACCUCUGAAAGUCGCUCGGGUGUCGAAAGCGUGCUUAUGACAUUUUAGUUGGCGGUCAAAAGGUUAGAACGUGAUUACAUUCGUUAAGGAUGUUGACGUAAUGG